rnacentral:lncRNA from 1 species
AUGUGUAAAAUGGAUAGCUGGUGAGAAGUUCUGCAUAACACAGGGAACCCAACCCAGUGCACUGUGAUGACCUGGACAGAUGGGGUAGGGAGAGGGGAGGGAGACUAGAGAGGGAGGGGAAAUAUGUACAAUUGUAAAUUGUUUUUUUUAAAGGGAAUGAUGCCUCACCAAUAAGUCAUUCAGAGAGUGAAAUGAAGUAAACAUAACACCUGUCCCAUGAAAGAGAACAGAUUUCUAGAAACAUCAUUCUGGCUGUACUGCAUCAAACAACCUGAAGAGGUCGCUUCAUACAAAAGCUGCUUGUUACUGUGGUACUUUUUUAAAAAAAGCAGCAGUCGUGCCUCAUCUCAGUCCUUGCAAAGAUGGUAAGUAGUUUUCAAUUUUUUUUUUUUUUAACCAGCUGGCUGUUCUGCCAAAUAGAUAAGUAUCCUGUACAAUACCUGACCUUAGAGCGGGUGAUAAUGUAACACAUCUUAUUUUCUUGCCAUAGAUCUUUGUGGACUUCUAAAUAUUGAGGGGCAAUUUGUUGAUCUGGAGAAUGUGAAGAAAAGCUAUGCUAGAUAAAGAGGUCACCCAAUCAACGAUAUGCAAACACAGAAAUUCAUAAUUCUGUGACCUUUGCUAAGAAAGUGUUAGUUCUUCUUGAUCCUCAUAGGAUUUGGUUUAUGCUAAUGUUUAGGCUGUAUCACAGAUGAAUUAGUAUUUCUAUUACUUGUGUAAGGUGUGUUUUAGAUAAUAAAUUAUAAGCAAUUUGAGAAAGGGAGCCACGGAAAUCUUUGUAUUUCCUAUAGCACUUCACAAAAUAUGUGUUAUCAGGAGCUUAAUGAUAUUUGUCAAAUAAAAGUAUGCAUUUAUCAAGAUAGGAUUACAUUUAUCUAAAUGUAGCUCAUUCACUGUAUAGGUGGAGAAACUGUUUCAAAGAGAGAGUGUCACUUGCCUAGAGAUGUUGUCAGUCCGGGAGCAUGAAUACUGGGAGCACUAACUCCUAGUCUAACACGUUUACCAUCAGCCGCAUCAAUUAGAAUAAGAAGGAUGGCCUUAAUUAGACAUAUGCUUCACUUAACUUUUUCUUUGCUAUUGUUAUUCUAUUUUUCUGAUUUAGAUAAAAAUCAUACUAAAUCUGCACUUUCUCAUGAAACAGCCAUUUGAAACACAGUGCUAGUAAUUCAGAAACAUGGACUGAAAAUAAAUUGCCUUACCAAGUAAAUUGGUCUUAUUGCACACUUUAAAAAUGCAAAUAAUGCUUCUUUUUCAGUCUUCAGCCUCUCCUGAUUCCCAGUUAAUGCUAUAUAUUUGCCUUGUAGUACUGCCUUAUGUGCAUCCUGAAAUUUUUACAUGAUCUUUUAUUUUCAUUUCUAAAUAUUUUCUAAUUUUCCUUACAAUUUAUUUGACCCGUGGUAUACUAGAAGAAUAUCUAAUUUCCAAGUAUGUGGUCUUUCCCAGAUAUUUUUCUACUUUUAAGUUUUAACUUGAUUCCAUUGUGGUAAAAGAACUUAUUUGUUUGACUUAAACUGUUUAACAUUUAUUGUAAGUAUUUUGUGACAGAAUAGGAUGUGGUUUAUUUUGGUAAAUGUUUU